UACCUGAUGUUCCCACGGGUUCUGGGAGUCUCACAAGUUAUAUUUUUUGUAUCAGGACCAGUGUACUAAUUUUGCUACUUUAUCAUGUCUAAUGUAAUCUGUUCCUGCAAUCUUUGGACUUUUGCAGAUGAGUUGUGACACAGUUUCAUCUUUUUCUUGGCAGAGUCAGCAUCUGCUUUUAACACUAAUUCCUUGGAUUGUCCUUUCACCACUUUGUUUUGGAACGCUUGUUCUUGUGCAGCGAAAUUACAAACAGUAUACAACAGCGGCCUCCUAUAAUGUUGGUGGAAUAUUCUCAAGCUCAUGAGCCUCCUCCUCAUCCCACAUCAGUUUGCAGGCCGGCUUCUAGACUUAUUUGGAAAGGGUCUAUUUCUGAAUUCUGAUGCACCACGAGAAAAGAGAGCGGCUAACGCUGUCAGCAACGAGCCAUGUUCACCUUAUAGGAAGUCUAUUCAGGAAGCGGAAACCUUGAUUAUUCACAGCGGGUUAAGAAGUCUGGUUGUUUUGAUCUUUCCUUUCAAUCACGGUAUCUGAAAAUCAAUUCUUUUCUAUUUUCAGCAACGGGCAGAGUACGUCACCUGUUUCCUGUUACAGAGUUUUACUGUAUAAUGCGCGUUUCAAGGUCUGCGUUGAGAAAUUAUUUGAAUUAUUUUAGGGGGUACCGGGGGAAAUUGGCAAAAAAAAA